rnacentral:rRNA from 2 species
UGCAGCAAGGUAGGAAUCUUCCACAAUGGACGAAAGUCUGAUGGAGCAACGCCGCGUGAGUGAAGAAGGGUUUCGGCUCGUAAAACUCUGUUGUUAAAGAAGAACAUAUCUGAGAGUAACUGUUCAGGUAUUGACGGUAUUUAACCAGAAAGCCACGGCUAACUACGUGCCAGCAGCCGCGGUAAUACGUAGGUGGCAAGCGUUGUCCGGAUUUAUUGGGCGUAAAGCGAGCGCAGGCGGUUUUUUAAGUCUGAUGUGAAAGCCUUCGGCUCAACCGAAGAAGUGCAUCGGAAACUGGGAAACUUGAGUGCAGAAGAGGACAGUGGAACUCCAUGUGUAGCGGUGAAAUGCGUAGAUAUAUGGAAGAACACCAGUGGCGAAGGCGGCUGUCUGGUCUGUAACUGACGCUGAGGCUCGAAAGUAUGGGUAGCAAACAGGAUUAGAUACCCUGGUAGUCCAUACCGUAAACGAUGAAUGCUAAGUGUUGGAGGGUUUCCGCCCUUCAGUGCUGCAGCUAACGCAUUAAGCAUUCCGCCUGGGGAGUACGGCCGCAAGGCUGAAACUCAAAGGAAUUGACGGGGGCCCGCACAAGCGGUGGAGCAUGUGGUUUAAUUCGAAGCUACGCGAAGAACCUUACCAGGUCUUGACAUACUAUGCAAAUCUAAGAGAUUAGACGUUCCCUUCGGGGACAUGGAUACAGGUGGUGCAUGGUGUCGUCAGCUUCCGGUUUGG